rnacentral:lncRNA from 1 species
UGCAGCCAAGAGGAUUAGACAGCUGAUAUCCACCAGAGGUGCAAAAGCAGCCACGUGGUUGAGCGCCGCCAGAUGACCACGCGGAGCUAGGGUGGCCACGUCUGGGAUCCCAGUCUACCUAGACUCUGCAAGUCCUCAGUUUCUCCCGGACUGACCCCGGCCCGCGCUGCAGGGCAGGAGACCUCCGGGGCCUUUACUUUAUAACCUCGCCGCCCACGUCCGCCCAGUCCACGACACAGAGGCGGUCUUUCGGGGUGGGCGUCGCUUCCGACCCGGGAAGAGCAGCGACCAACCGCCCGGCUCUCCACAGCCCUUUAUCCGCGCCCUGCGGACCGCAUCCGACCGGCCGCGCUCCCCACCGACGCCCACUCCCAGCUCUGCCCGGCUCCGCCAGGAAUGUGGGAGACCCGGCGGCGCCUCGGAGUGACCGCGCGCCCGGCCAAUCAGCGAGCCGCAGGAGCAAGGCCCUGCCCCCUCCGCCCCCAGGGCUGGUUCCCGCCGGGGGCGGGGCGGCGGGCCGAGGAGGACCGAGGGGAGGCGGCACCUGGGCGGCGGUGAUGUCAGCCGGGCGCUGUGCUCGGGCCCCGGCUCCUGUCGCCGUGUAGGGCGCGGGGGCGGCCG